AAACCAUGAUGAGGACAUUGAUUGGUGUAACUUUUGAAGCGCUCCUAGGCCUCACAGAAGCUUUCUCCAUUCUUUUGGGCGAAACCAGAGAUCUCAUUCCAUAGCCGU
rnacentral:snoRNA from 1 species